rnacentral:misc_RNA from 1 species
AGGUGUCCGCUGCGAAAUGGGAUGCCCGGUGCCUAUGCCAUGCUUCCCCCCCGCUCCGUCUAUGAUGGGGGCCAUGGCAUAGGCACCACCCGGUCGUCGGGCUUGCUUGUCGGUUUGGUGGUCUCCGACCAUCAAUCCGACCGUCAAUCCGGCGAUCACGGUCUGGUGGGCUAGUAGUGCUGUGUUGAAUUUUUUCGAGGGGAGAGGGACGGUUUAUCUCGGAUUUUGAUUUUCCAACGUAUUCAAAGGGCAAGCGUGAGCAUGGCUUCGGUUUUGGGAUCGUUGAAACGGAGAAUACUACGGUCGGGUCAAGAUCAAAGGUUUUCAAAAAUAUUUCAAAAAUCGUUGGUUUUCAAAACUUUUUGUCCCUGUCCCUGAGAUUAUUCAUUAUGCUCCAAAUCGAAACAUUCCAAAAAAAAUGCGGAAGAACUAGCAUGCUUCGGCUUGUGCUAACUUGAUGCAUCAAACGGUUUGUUACGGUGGGUUGGGUAUGGUGGAGAAUCGUUGGUUUUUAAAAAAUUAUGCCCCGUCGGAAAUUUUGUCCCUUGGUCUGGUGGGUUAGUAGUGCUGCGUUGAUCUUUCUCGAGAGGAGAGGGACGGUUCAUCUUGGAUUUUGCUUUUCCAACGUAUUCGAAGGGCAAGCGUGAGCAUGGCUUCGGCCGUGGGAUCGUUGAAACGGAGAAUACUGCGGUCGGGUCUAGAUCUGAGUUUUAACCUCUCGGGGGAGCACAACGCUGUCUUUACUUUCUCGUUUGGCCAUCAAAGGUUUUCAAAAAUAUUUCAAAAAUCGUUGGUUUUCAAAACUUUUUGUCCCUGUCCCUGAGAUUAUUCAUUAUGCUCCAAAUCGAAACAUUCCAAAAAAAAUGCGGAAGAACUAGCAUGCUUCGGCUUGUGCUAACUUGAUGCAUCAAACGGUUUGUUGCGGUGAGUUGGGCAUAGUGGAGAAUCGUUGGUUUUUGAAAAUUUUGUCCCUGUCCCUCGGAUUGUGUGUUUCUUCAUGUGAAGCGGUGCUGGUGUGGCCCUUCUUGAUGUUUCCGCAUGCUCAACGGUUCUAGUAAUCGUUGGGUUGUGGUUCGUUUGGUUGGGUCGUCAUCAAGUGUACGCAACUCACGUGUGAGUGGUGGUUGGAUGGCAUGGGUCUGCAAGCUCCUUGCUCAGCGCAACGAAUUGUAAACUCUCCAUCCUUUUCAUAGUCUUCCCCAAGCAUGGUCAUUUGCCUUGUGGGUAAGAUCGGUAUCCUGUGUUUUUUACCAAUUGAAUGGAAUUCGAUUGUUUUCGUUUCUCUAUUCGUCCGGUUCCUUUAGGGGUGUUGGGUGGACAAUAGGCUGACCUCGUGUUCCAGGUACAUCUCGCAUUUUUGUGUGGUUACCAUGGCCCAUGGAGUUAUGCUUGCUCUCUUGGAUGCGGAUCGUUAGUUGUGGGCGAGGGGUUACGACCUCCAUUCGUCCAAGCUAUUAUGCAUUUGUCAAUUGACACGAACGACUGCUGCACUCGUCUUGGCUUUUUACAGUUGAAUGGCUGUACAAUGUCCAUGCGAGCGUCGGUGUCGUGAAGGAAUGC